rnacentral:rRNA from 1 species
UACGGGGGGGGGCAAGCGUUGUUCGGAAUUACUGGGCGUAAAGGGCUCGUAGGCGGCCAACUAAGUCAGACGUGAAAUCCCUCGGCUUAACCGGGGAACUGCGUCUGAUACUGGAUGGCUUGAAUUCGGGAGAGGGAUGCGGAAUUCCAGGUGUAGCGGUGAAAUGGCGUAGAUAUCUGGAGGAACACCGGUGGCGAAGGCGGCGAUCCUGGACCGACAUUGACGGCUGAGGAGCGAAAGCCAGGGGAGCAAACGGG